rfam:Avibacterium paragallinarum JF4211, WGS project CBMK01000000 data, contig: 20-24-9
GGACGAACCCUUGGAGAGAGCCAUCGCGAUUAACGCAGAAUGGACGCCGAAGGCGCAAAAGAGCGGUGUGAAAUUUCACCGUUUUUCAAACGCUCAGGCAAAAGGACAGGGGCAAGAGA